rnacentral:rRNA from 1 species
AGAGUUUGAUUAUGGCUCAGAACGAACGCUGGCGGCAGGCCUAACACAUGCAAGUCGAGCGCGCCCUUCGGGGUGAGCGGCGGACGGGUUAGUAACGCGUGGGAACGUACCCUUUGGUAGGGAAUAGCCACUGGAAACGGUGAGUAAUACCCUAUGAGCCCUUCGGGGGAAAGAUUUAUCGCCAAAGGAUCGGCCCGCGUUAGAUUAGGUAGUUGGUGGGGUAACGGCCUACCAAGCCUACGAUCUAUAGCUGGUUUUAGAGGAUGAUCAGCAACACUGGGACUGAGACACGGCCCAGACUCCUACGGGAGGCAGCAGUGGGGAAUCUUGGACAAUGGGGGCAACCCUGAUCCAGCCAUGCCGCGUGAGUGAAGAAGGCCUUAGGGUCGUAAAGCUCUUUCGCCUGUGAAGAUAAUGACGGUAGCAGGUAAAGAAACCCCGGCUAACUCCGUGCCAGCCGCGGC